rnacentral:ncRNA from 3 species
GGCGGGAGUAACUAUGACUCUC